rnacentral:rRNA from 1 species
UGGGGAAUAUUGGACAAUGGGGGGAACCCUGAUCCAGCCAUGCCGCGUGUGUGAAGAAGGCCUUAUGGUUGUAAAGCACUUUAAGCGAGGAGGAGGGUACUGGUAUUAAUACUACCAGGUACUGGACGUUACUCGCAGAAUAAGCACCGGCUAACUCUGUGCCAGCAGCCGCGGCAAUACAGAGGGUGCGAGCGUUAAUCGGAUUUACUGGGCGUAAAGCGUGCGUAGGCGGCUAAUUGAGUCGGAUGUGAAAUCCCCGAGCUUAACUUGAGAAUUGCAUUGGAUACUGGUUAGCUAGAGUGUGGGAGAGGAUGGUAGAAUUCCAGGUGUAGCGGUGAAAUGCGUAGAGAUCUGGAGGAAUACCGAUGGCGAAGGCAGCCAUCUAGCCUAACACUGACGCUGAGGUACGAAAGCAUGGGGAGCAAACAGG